ACACCCACAGCCACCUGUAUGCUCUUCUGCCCUAACUGCACAUAACCACUGUUUUCAGAUGGUGUUGACAAAAAUAAUAUAAGCUGGGGGAAUUUGAGACGGGGCACCAUCUAUGUGAUGGGAGGCCAUCAUCGAGCUGGGUGAAGACUUUCCUCUGGGGCUGCUCACCCUCCUGUCAGCGAGCAUCUCUCACCCACGUUCUGUAAGUGAGCUCCAGAAGCUCACUGGCUCCAGGGUGAACUUUAUUUUGUCCUUGGGACCUUAAGGAGGGAGCUGACAUCGUUUGUGCCCUCCACCCCCAAGAGAGGAAUUCUCCCAACAAUAUGGCAGCAAGACCAUGAGGACUCUAGUCCACGGGUGAUGCUACCCAGAGUCAGUGUGGGUCUUCCCACCUCAACUACCUCAAUCUAUGGACUUCCUCACAAGUAUGCCCAGAGGUUCAUAGCCUAGGCCUUUCACUGAACUUGAAGACUUGAAGGAUAGGCUGGAGCCGGAGGGAUCUUCCUGUAUGCUGUGUCCCCGACUAGUCUCCCUUCUCUGAAGAUACAGGUGUGUGUGCUGGUACACCUGGCUUUUUAUAUGCACGCUAGGGAAACCGGAUCCUCCCGGUAGUUUGGGAGGUGCCUUACCCCAACUGAG